rnacentral:rRNA from 1 species
GGCGAGUGAAGCGGCAAAAGCUCAAAUUUGAAAUCUGGCUCUUUCAGAGUCCGAGUUGUAAUUUGAAGAAGGUAUCUUUGGGUCUGGCUCUUGUCUAUGUUUCUUGGAACAGAACGUCACAGAGGGUGAGAAUCCCGUGCGAUGAGAUGAUCCAGGCCUAUGUAAAGUUCCUUCGAAGAGUCGAGUUGUUUGGGAAUGCAGCUCUAAGUGGGUGGUAAAUUCCAUCUAAAGCUAAAUAUUGGCGAGAGACCGAUAGCGAACAAGUACAGUGAUGGAAAGAUGAAAAGAACUUUGAAAAGAGAGUGAAAAAGUACGUGAAAUUGUUGAAAGGGAAGGGCUUGAGAUCAGACUUGGUAUUUUGUAUGUUACUUCUUCGGGGGUGGCCUCUACAGUUUAUCGGGCCAGCAUCAGUUUGGGCGGUAGGAGAAUUGCGUUGGAAUGUGGCACGGCUUCGGUUGUGUGUUAUAGCCUUCGUCGAUACUGCCAGCCUAGACUGAGGACUGCGGUUUAUACCUAGGAUGUUGGCAUAAUGAUCUUAAGUCGCCCGUCUUGAAACACGGACCAAGGAGUCUAACGUCUAUGCGAGUGUUUGGGUGUAAAACCCGUACGCGUAAUGAAAGUGAACGUAGGUGGGGGCCCGUAUGGGUGCACCAUCGACCGAUCCUGAUGUCUUCGGAUGGAUUUGAGUAAGAGCAUAGCUGUUGGGACCCGAAAGAUGGUGAACUAUGCCUGAAUAGGGUGAAGCCAGAGGAAACUCUGGUGGAGGCUCGUAGCGGUUCUGACGUGCAAAUCGAUCGUCGAAUUUGGGUAUAGGGGC